UAGAGUUUGAUCAUGGCUCAGAGUGAACGCUGGCGGCAGGCCUAAUACAUGCAAGUCGAACGGCAGCACAGCAGAGCUUGCUCUGUGGGUGGCGAGUGGCGGACGGGUGAGGAAUACAUGGGAAUCUGCCCAGUCGUGGGGGAUAACCUCGGGAAACCGGGACUAAUACCGCAUGCGCCCUACGGGGGAAAGCAGGGGAUCUUCGGACCUUGCGCGAUUGGAUGAGCCCAUGUUCGAUUAGCUAGUUGGCGGGGUAAAGGCCCACCAAGGCGACGAUCGAUAGCUGGUCUGAGAGGAUGAUCAGCCGCACUGGAACUGAGACACGGUCCAGACUCCUACGGGAGGCAGCAGUAGGGAAUAUUGGACAAUGGGGGCAACCCUGAUCCAGCCAUGCCGCGUGAGUGGAGAAGGCCCUCGGGUUGUAAAGCUCUUUUGUCCGGAAAGAAAAGCGCGGGGUUAAUACCCCCGUGUCCUGACGGUACCGGAAGAAUAAGCACCGGCUAACUUCGUGCCAGCAGCCGCGGUAAU
rnacentral:rRNA from 1 species